rnacentral:rRNA from 1 species
GAGAAGAAGAGAGACGCUCUUCGCUCUGAGGCUGGGCUAAGUGUAGAGGAGGUAAGAGAGGAGAGGAGAGGAGAGGAGAGGCGGCGGUGGAGGGAGAGUGCCUGGAGCGGCGGCCGGUACCGGAGGGGGCGGGAGAGGACUAGUCUGCUGUCCUCUAGGCGGCACAGGCGCUGCCUCGUCCAGCGGGAGGGCGCUCGGGGUGGUGGAUGCGGCCAGCUAAGGUCGGCUUAGACCGCCGCGGGUCGUGGGAGGGCACUUGCGGAGGGAGGCGAGGCAGGAGGAGAGGCUGGGUCCGCCUGAGGUCGUCGGUGGGUGGUUGUCGGGAGGGGCACCGCACGGAUCCCAAAGCCGGACGCACAGCGGCCGCUGAGAAGAACCGGCACUAGGCGGUGUUGGCGCCGCUGGAGCUGCCUAGACGCCGCGUCGUCGCUCCCAGUGAAGGAGGCUGGACGUCGCUGGUAUCACUGUGCCUAAGGUAGACCGCGGGAGGUGCCUACUGCUGUAGUGGUACCUCUACCUCGUCGACGUCGUAGUGGUUGAGUGGGCUACGUACGUCUACGUCGCGUCCGUCUUCUCCUACUGCGGGUCGAUACCUAAAACUCGCCGUCGACGAGUUCUUUACUCCGGACGUCUCGAUUAUCGUCGAUGCGCGCUCCGACAGCGACGGCCACCGUUAAGCCCAUAGAGGAGUUUGUUCCGCUGCCCCUCGUCAACCAGGCAGCCGAUCCAAUUAGAAAGAGCCCUGUUCCGACUCCACUCGAAACUCACAGUCCAACAACAAAAACACAAAAUUCAUCAACAUCGAAGACAACGAAGCUGUUGGCAAGAUAGAAAACUCCGAAACUAGUAACAAACACAAUAGUGACAGGCUUCGUGAUUGCCACCUGAGGGAGGAGACGACCCACAUGGAACUGAUACUUGGGAAGAGGACACCUACUAGUUCACGAACACUAUUCAAAGAGGACCUACAUGAACUCAAGUAAAAGUUCUUAAGGUCAAGUUUCCGAAAGACAACAGGACAUUGUCACAGGUUGUAGUGCAAACUGAAACUGCAGAUGAAGCGUGUUGAGAUCGUGACAGGAAGUAUAUCCGUUGUUAGUCUAAGGAGAAGAAAAAAUAUUAAAUACUAACGUGUAGGAUUGAUCAUACACUAGUAAUCGAACUUGGUGGGACAGUAUUCAAUGUACAGAUACUAUGAACAAAACAAAGACGACGCUGACAUAACUUGGUAACCAAAGUACUUCUUUAGACCCUCAUGGGAAAAAAUCAUCUUUUGUUGAAAACAUCUAGCAAAGUUCAAUGUACCCACUUCUUCCUACCUAAAUAUAUGCUUCCUGUAUUGAAACGG